rnacentral:piRNA from 1 species
UGAUGCUAGAUACUGUCAAACUGAAAAC